rnacentral:piRNA from 1 species
UUGAAUGAUGGUGUGAGCACUUGUCACUACA